rnacentral:rRNA from 1 species
AUGAGUUGCCUAAAAGAAGUUCCGACACUCAGAGGUGACAACCACACUGAGUGGAGGAAGAAAGUUGAACUGGCGUUUGUUUGUGCUGAUCUUGACUGGGUUGUGGAGAAACCACAGCCGGUCAGACCCACAGAGCCAGUAAGAGAGGCUACUGAUGAUGAUGCUGCAUGGGCUAAAAAGAAAGGGGACUAUGCUCCUUUGGAGCAGUCCUACCUCAUAGAUAAUCAAAAGUGGGUCAAUGCAAAUAAAAAUUGCAUGGCUUUUAUAAAGAACACCAUUGAGAGCGCCAUUGUGGGCUCCAUUGCAGAGUGCACUUCCGCAGGGGAGUUGCUCUCAAAGAUAAAAAGCCAGUUCACUGGCUCUUCAAAGAUAUAUGCCACCCAGGUGUUAGAGCAACUGGUGACAGAAAAAUACACAGGUGGUAGUCAUGGCAUAAGAGAGCACAUCCUCAGGAUGAGCAAUAUGGCAGCAAAGCUCAAACCCAUGGAUGCGGAUCUGGAGAUCAAACCAGCGCUCCUGGUCCACCUUGUCAUGGCUUCAUUGCCGAAGGAGUUUGAAGCUUUUGUUGUGAACUAUAAUAUGUCACCUGGAACAUGGGACGUUGAAAAGACAAUAGCAAUGUGUGUUCAAGAAGAGGAGAGACUCAAAGCCUCACAUGGUGGUACACUCAACUAUGUGCAGGGUCACAAAAGAAAG